AAGACUAGGAACUUCCAUUAUCUGCAAGAUAAAAACCUGGAAUGUCAGAACUGUGAAUUAUGUUCUGUCAAAUUAAUUCAGCAAUAUCAGAAAUAAUUUGGUUAAUAUUCUACAGUCAUCAAUGCAAGGUUUCGGUACUAGACAUCUGCCAAUCCCAUAUUGAAAGUACUCCAAUCAAGGAACUGGGACAUGUGCCAGACAAUCCACUGAGAAAAACUUACAUGAGAACUCCAAUUGCAUAUGCAAAUGGAUAUGGGUUUACUCACAUUGCAAGAGGGUGGUUGCUUUGUGGUUAGAGCUUGCAAAUUCCAGGUUAAAAUGCAGCAUACAUUUUAAAUUAGUUGAGAUUUUAAUAUAAAAAUUCCUUGCAUUCCAUAUGUAAAUAUUUUAGCAUGCAUUUUAUGUAGGUAAAAAGAGUACCUUGAGUGCUAG
rnacentral:misc_RNA from 1 species